rnacentral:rRNA from 1 species
CUCUGUGACUCCUACGGGAGGCAGCAGUGGGGAAUAUUGCACAAUGGGCGCAAGCCUGAUGCAGCCAUGCCGCGUGUGUGAAGAAGGCCUUCGGGUUGUAAAGCACUUUCAGUUGUGAGAAAGGUGGUGUCGUUAAUAGCGGCAUCAUUUGACGUUAGCAACAGAAGAAGCACCGGCUAACUCCGUGCCAGCAGCCGCGGUAAUACGGAGGGUGCGAGCGUUAAUCGGAAUUACUGGGCGUAAAGCGCAUGCAGGUGGUUUGUUAAGUCAGAUGUGAAAGCCCCGGGGCUCAACCUCGGAACUGCAUUUGAAACUGGCAGACUAGAGUACUGUAGAGGGGGUAGAAUUUCAGGUGUAGCGGUGAAAUGCGUAGAGAUCUGAAGGAAUACCGGUGGCGAAGGCGGCCCCCUGGACAGAUACUGACACUCAGAUGCGAAAGCGUGGGGAGCAAACAGGAUUAGAUACCCUGGUAG